AUGAACGCUGGCGGCGUGCCUAAUACAUGCAAGUCGAGCGAACAGAUGAGGAGCUUGCUCCUCUGACGUUAGCGGCGGACGGGUGAGUAACACGUGGAUAACCUACCUAUAAGACUGGGAUAACUUCGGGAAACCGGAGCUAAUACCGGAUAAUAUAUUGAACCGCAUGGUUCAAUAGUGAAAGACGGUUUUGCUGUCACUUAUAGAUGGAUCCGCGCCGCAUUAGCUAAUUGGUAAGGUAACGGCUUACCAAGGCAACGAUGCGUAGCCGACCUGAGAGGGUGAUCGGCCACACUGGAACUGAGACACGGUCCAGACUCCUACGGGAGGCAGCAGUAGGGAAUCUUCCGCAAUGGGCGAAAGCCUGACGGAGCAACGCCGCGUGAGUGAUGAAGGUCUUCGGAUCGUAAAACUCUGUUAUUAGGGAAGAACAAAUGUGUAAGUAACUAUGCACGUCUUGACGGUACCUAAUCAGAAAGCCACGGCUAACUACGUG
rnacentral:rRNA from 1 species